rnacentral:tRNA from 1 species
GCCCCCGUAGCUCAGAUGGAUAGAGCGACGGCCUUCUAAGCCGUGGGUCGCAGGUUCGAGUCCUGCCGGGGGCA